GGGGACAUAAAUGCUGAUCUCCCGACCUAGGAAUCUCUUCCAAAGCAAGGGGUAGACAACAAAGUAUUAAAUUUUUCUGUAGUACUAUAUCAAAGAUGGGUAACGGGUAACGGGUAACGAGUAACGGGUAACAGGCAACGGGUAACGUUAAACAUAAAUUCAAUGUCCAAUUUGCAGAUGCAGCUACACUGUAAGCCUGUAAUUAGUUGAUAACUGAUCACACAACGGUAACAACUUUCAUGUUUCUGUGUACCAAAUACUAGGUAUUGCUUUUUUCGUUUUUUGCUCCUAACCUGCCACCAUAUAUCUCUUCCCUCUUGCCACUUCGUAGCUUCUCUCUUCAUGGCUGAUUCAUUUUCGUACGUCAAGCAUAUAUCUGCAAUAAGUAAUAUAACAUGCUACAUAAGAAAGGAAGCACUCUCAGCUUUGUUAAGUUGUCAAGCACCAGCCACUGAGCAAAGUCUCUGAGGAAGAGGAAAUUACAAUCAAUGAAGAGAGAGAAAAAUUCAGAAGUCAAUCCUAGAUCCUCCUAAAUCAAAUGUUCAACUUGUAAUGUAAGAAGCAUCCUGAUUCAGAAAGCAACUUUAAGCAAUUCCUAUAACUACAAACAUGCAAUCAACAGUUCAUGUCCAAUAUGUUUCCCAUGGAAUGAGUGUAAUAUCAAUGACAGUUAAAAACACAUAACAGGCUGGUGAUAAUGAGAAAUUUACCCUUUUGAAAGUGAGCCCAGUUGUCAUUUAGAAGAAACUUGCGUGGCAUUAUAAUUAGUGCUCUGGUAAUAUCAGGUUUUGUUAUGGAACCCCUGUUUUAGGAGUGCUUUAGAAAGACAGUUUUGGUAAAACACCAUCUACAUUAACACUCUAAAACACCAAUAAAAAUAUACAUUAAAUAGGGAACCAGUGGCAGAGGAGGGUAAUAGUUGUGAGAGGGAAAGGGGCGUUUAGGAAAAAUGGUUGUUUUGUACAAACACCCACAAUUUUUCUAAAACAACUACAGUAAGCUACAGCAAAGUUUUAGAAAAACACACACAAAACACACUAUCCAAAUGGACCCAACACUUGCCCAUAUAAGAGAGAUAGUCAUGGGAGUAAUCAGAAAGGAUCGAUUACAUUUUCUUCCUGGAUGCUAUGUUUUGGUUAUUUAUCAAUAGAUGAGACCGAACAGUUAACUGAUUUAUUAUUCCAAAAGUUAGCAGUGCAUCUCCAAGCAUUAAGACAGUUUAACCCCACAUAAUUUAGUAAACUUGCAAGUUUAAGUGCUGUAUUGACAUGAUUUUAAAAACACACUAUUGUACCUACCAACAAUCAGUGGCAUCAAACAAAUAAUAGACUACAGGCAAAUCAUUCUUGUUCUUCAAGAUAAAUAUUGUAAUAAAAAAUCAAUAGACAGAGAGGAAUUAUGUCCUCCAGAACCCUCUCAACUCCAUUACUUCAAUCACAAAUCCCCCCGCCCCCCUCUUCCCAGGGAAGAGAACUUAAGCAAAUAGAGGGAAAGAAGCUGCAAGCAUAGUAACGAAGGCAGAUGUUGCAAUCAUAUCAUAAUGCAAUAGCUCAGUUUCUGACCCAAAAGAAUGCCAUUUCGGGCAGAUUCUGCAAGGGCAGCAUCAACUAUGUCCUUGAGAUAUAUAACCUUGGAACCUCUCCUAACAGCAUUGCAAGUUAUAACAACCUUGGGUUUACAAUCCAUGAUUCUCUGGGCAAGAGAUUCAGCAGAGAACCCUGCAAAUACCACCUAAAGUACCAAAGAGAUGAUUAAGAAAUAUUAGAAUUGCAAAUUUUUUUUUUUUUUAAAUCUGCAAGGUGUAUCAUGUAGGUAAAGAUAGGGAGCAAGCAAAGAAGUCUGGUUGCCUUGUACCGAGUGAACAGCACCAAUGCGACUGCAGGCAAGCAUAGCUAUUGGUAGUUCCAUAAGCAUAGGCAAAUAAAUCACCACAGCAUCUCCCUUGCGGACACCAACAUCCUUCAAGUAAUUUGCAAGCUAUUGGCAGGAAUAGUCAGGAAAGCAUCGCAUAGGUCAAGAUCACAAUAAAUAAACAGAGUAUUCAAGUCCUGAGAGAGAGAGAGAGAGGUUAUAUAGAGACCUGGCAAACUCUAGAUAGCAGUUGGUUGUAGGUCAAGGUGCCAUCAAAACCAGGUUCAUUUCCUUCCCAGAAAAUUGCGACUUUGUCCCCAUCCCCAGAAUCUAUGAUCCUAUCCAAAGAGUUGUAGCAUAUGUUGGUCAUACCACCUUUGAACCACUGUAUUGAGCGGGCACAAACGCAGGCAGAUAAAGAUAAAACGGUAAGGAGAUGAAUGGGGAAUAAAAGAAAAAGAAAUGCACGAGCAACGAGGUGGGAGGGCGCAAGAGUGCUACUGGUAGUACAUAAAAGAAGAGAGGAUAAAAAUGGGAUAGACCUCGAUCUCGACAUUUCCUUUACGAAUGUCAAGAUUCUGGGAGUAAACCAGCGGGCCCCAUCUCUCUUUCCAAUAAAACUCCGAGGCGAUGUCUGACCAAAAUCCGGCUGGAUCUUCAAUUGACCUUGUAUACAUCUCCAAGUACUUGGAUGAUAAAUUGCAAAGUAAUAGAAAGACAAAAACAAAGAAGUGAGAAAAAAAAUCAGAAUUCCAGAGUAAUGGGAGGGAAAGUCCAUGCCUGUACAAAACAAUUUAGCAUUCAGAAGAAAGAAAAUGCACAGCAGCAAAAUAAAAGCGGAAAAAGGGUGGGGUGGGGAAGGAAUGGAAAAGGAUCAAUUAAUGGUUGUGAGAAUGGAAUGUAGGAUUAAAACAUUAGGGCGGGACAGAGAUGGCAAAGAGUUGUUUCUUAUUACCUUCUGGGGUGAGGGAACGUGAGCCUGCUUGGAGAAGGCCUCGUUGGGGAAAACCAAAUCAUCCUCCUCGGAAGCGAGCGACUCGCCCAGAAUAACGGCGUUCAAUCUGGAUAUGCGGCCUGCGCCGGAGGGCAGGAUGCUCAUGGACUCCACGUGGCGCAGGUGAUUCGAAGUCUUCAAGCAUUUCGUAGGACUACUAGAGGAUUGGAGAUCGUCUUCCAUUGCCCUCCUCCUGUAUGCCGCCCAGGUCGUGCCACAACAGAAGGCGCAGCAGCAGCAGCUUCUGACCGGGUGGUGGUUGCGGUGGCGGCAGAAUUGGCACUCAAAGCUGGAGGAAGAUGAGGAGGAGGGAUAAUUUAGGGGGUUCCUUGAGUUGACCAGCGAGUAGUUGGACUUUGAACUGCGGAAGAUCGGGAAGGAGGGUUGGCCACCUGCCAAUCUAUUACGGGUAAUUGAUCUACUCCGGAUAUUGUUGAUUAUAGUAUUAGUGGGAGCAGUGUAAUAAUUACUGCUAUUAGCUGUACUAGUGGCAUCGUUCAAACAAGAGAGGGCCAUCCUCCCCCCGUCCCUCCCUGCCGCCCUUUUCUUGCCGUUGACUUGAAAAUCUUGCCCAGACUACAAAUAAGUGCACUGCAACCGUUACAGCCUCUGUCUACGCAUGUGUAUAAGUUUAUAUUUGUUCCUUUGUACAGGCGGAGGCGGACAUACAGAGGUGUCCAACCCUUUUGACUCUUAAGUACCCGUUAAUCAAUAUAAUUUUACUGCGGUCUACUGGUUUAGUUUACUUUACUUAAAUAUUUAGUGACAGUUUAGGCACGAGUCUAGGGGUGCAAACGAACCGAACUCGAGUCGAGUUUUGGCUAAUCGAGCCGAGCUCGAGUUAAUUUUGUGAAGCUCGAAUUCGAGCUCGAGCUCGACGAACUCAAAAUAUCAAGCUCGAACUCGAGUCAAAUUCGAGUCGAGCUCGAGCUCGAACUCGAGUUUAAAAAAUAAAAAAAAAAAUUUAUUAUUAUUUUUUUUUAAAAAAAUAAUAAUAAAAUAAUAAUUUUUUUAAUAAUAAUAAUAAAAUAUUAGGGAUAUAUAUGUAAUUUUACUAUUAAAAUAAAAAAUAAAAAAUAUAUAUAAUUGAGCCAACGAGUUUAAUGUUUUUGAACUCGAUCUCGAGCUCGAGAUCGACUUAAUUAGCUCGAGCUCGACUAGAGCUCGAUAUUGACGAGCUCGAGUCGAGCUCGUAUUCGACCCGCGAGCGGCUCCAUUCGCAAAACACCCCUAGGCACGACGGACGGCAAGCAAGUUUAACGCUGUUGAUGAUUUUUUGUUGGUGCCGUUCCAUUUCACUCCCCCAUGCCCAAUUCUUAAUUUCUUAUAAUCCAAUGACUUUUGCCUUGCUUUUAAAUUCACCAAUUUAUUUUUUUUUUGUUUUCAAAUAAAAGAUAACUAGUAAUUAAGGCAUAUUCUAUGUGUUUGCAAAUAAUAAAAAUACAUUUAUUCAUAAAUGCUUUUUCAUAGACAUUGGUUUUAUACUAUCAAAAUGAGUUUGGUUUUGUUCUCAAUUGAUUUUGGAAAUCUGAUAUUAGCUUUUGAAUAUUUUGUUGUGCUCUCAACUGAUUUUAAAAAAUUGAUUUUAGAUUUUUUGGACCCAAAAGAGUUGAAAAUCAAAAGUAGAUCUCAAUAUGCUUUUGGAUUCUAAUUCUGGCUUACUUUUUUUAUGUAGACAAAAUCAUCAUUUAAAUUUUAACAUAAUUAUUAAAUUAACUACAUAUUAGAUAACUUUUUACGGUCUCUUCAUUUUCUCAUUUCACUCCCACAUUUAUAUAUGUGUCCCUUGUUUAUCUCAUCCAUCAUUUAAUUUUCAUAUGAAAAGUAACUAAUUACAUCAAACAAAAAUUCAUUUAUGUAGCAUAUAAAGGUAACUUAGUCAUCUUUUUUUUUUUUUCAAAAUCAGUUUUUAACUUUUUUUUUUUAGAACACCUAUGCGUUUAUUAAAAAAGCUUUUUAAAUAGUAAACAAUAAUGCAUGAAUCAUUCUGAAAAUUUGAUAUUUAAGAAUCAGAAUCAGUCGGGAACAAAGCCUUUGUUUAAAAAUUUAAUGAUAAUUAAAAUGUAUUUCCUACAAUUAUGAAUUGUUAUGGAUAUAAUUUCAAAAUCAUGACACUAAAAAUAAAGGAGAAGAUUAUAUUUUUAUAAGACUAAAUCAUUUUAUCCUUUAUUUUAAGCGUAAAAAGAAGUAGAUUAAAAAAUAAUGUACCACCUUAAACCCUCGUAAGGUUUAUAUAUAAAAGAAGUAGGAUUAUUUCUCUUUGUAAUAGAAAGAGAUUAUUCACAAGUUUUGCAUUGAGGCUUGGAUUGCUCUCAUGAGCAUAUCCCUCUAAUUUUUCUUUUCUCCCAAGUUUCCUUCCUCUUCCCCUUUUCCAUUCCUUUCCGAAUUCUGUAAAUCGUUGAGCAUAGUUCAUUAAUGGAAAUUCGGGUAAUUUUGUUGAAUUGAUUGUUGUUUAAAAGAUGAAAUAGUUAAUAUGGUCAAAAUGGUUAAUCUUACAACCCUGGUUGAUGCUAUAGAAGCAGCAAAACUACAAGGAAAAGAACCUAAAAGCCAUGCAAAAGAUUCGCAAGACAACUACUACUAUUCCUUAUGGCCAAAAGACUCUUUCCAAACCACCAAAUAAUUUUAAGUGGAUCCCAUCCAGCUCUAAAACCAUAGAUAACCCCUCCCCAAAAGCGUCAAAAAACCUCACCAACACACAGGCCCAAUAUAGAAGAUUACCCCUGCUGAGCUUACUUAUAGGAGAGAGAAAGGGCUAUGUUUCAAGUGUGCUAAACCAUACACUCUGGGCCAUAUGUGUAAACAAUCCCAUUUGCAUUAUAUAAUCUCAGAGGAAGGAGAAAAGGAAGCAGAAAAUGAGGAGAAAAGGGAUGAAGACUCAGAAGUUUACUGCGAUAGUGUGUGUGUUGAGCUGGUAAAUGAACAGAUGGAGGUCGCAGGAGGAAAUGAUCAUAAAACUAUCAGGAUGAAGGGGAACAUCAAAGGAAGAAGGAUCAUAGCACUGAUUGACAAUGGCAGUACCCACUGUUUUCUGGAUAAACAAGUGCCUAGGAACUUGGGGUUAAACACUGGUGGGAAACAUUGACUGUUAAUGUGGCCAAUGGAGAGAAACUGCAGUCUAAAGGCUUGGUCAAACCAGUGACAUGGAAGAUGCAAGGGCAUGAAUUCCAGCACCAGUCCAAUACCUUGAAGUUGGGUGGUUAUGAUUUAGUGUUAGGAGUAGACUCGUUGGCAAGGUAUAGUCCUAUGGAAUUUGUUUUGAAGAAGCUAAGCAUGAAGUUCUAUAAGGGAAAACAACCAAUAGAAUUGACUGGAGAAAGCAAUGAGGUGCAGUUAAAACUUAUCAGGAGAAGCAGGAUACGAAAGUGGUUCAGAAAACAAGCUUAUGGAAUUGUUGCACAGGUACAGGUGGUGGAAGAGGAGGAGAAAAGCUAGGAGGAAUUGAUUCCCGAAAUGGAGAAGGUAUUAGAAGAAUUCAAGGAUGUAUUUGAGGAACCAUAGGGUCUGCCACCUAUGAGGAGCCAUCAUCACUCCAUUACACUCAAGGAAGGAGCUAAACCCUUCCAGAUAAGGCAGGCCUUAUAGAUGUCCUUAUGUGUAGAAAGCAGAAAUCGAGAAGUUAGUAAAAGAAAUGCUGCAUAAUGGAAUCAUCCAACUCAGUAGCAGCCCUUUUGCCUCUCCAGUACUACUGGUCAAGGUGAAAGAUAGGUUAUGGAGGUUCUGUGUUGACUAUAGGCAACUGAAUGAGCUGACAGUAAAUGCACAAGGCUAAAAUUUGUCCUACAACCUUCUAUGCACUUCAAGAAGCAGUUCCAACACAUUACAAACUAAACAGCAUCCUUGAACUUAUAACCUUCACCAAAUGCCAAAUUGCUGAAAAUCUCACAAUUAUCUUGAAGUAGAAUAUACAGGAGACAGGAGGUGAAAACGCUCACACCAGAUGUUGAACUCUUCUACAUUAACAAUCAAACAGUUCCAGUAUCAUUUGUUUCGAGGCUCAGCACUAAAAGAAGGCUUCCGAUUGAGGUAUCUAAUGACAGCAUCUUCAACCCUACAGCAGAGAUUAUAAGAUUUAAUCAGAUAAAGUGUUUACAGGGAGUCAGUCACGUACCCUGGAAGAUAAGUAAACAAGCUGAAAAUAAAGUCAAAGCAACAAGCUGAGAGGAAAUUCAAACUAGCAGUAUUUGCUAGUUGAAAGCAUAUAUGAUCAAACAAAUGACAGAGGGAAACUAGAAUUUCUGGAAGUGCAAAAACAGUUUGCAUUGUUUAAUCAUGACAUAUUGUUUCAUCAGUUAAUCUACACUCUCAAGUUGUCUGUCUCUAUUAUUAUCAAAGCUAGAUAUAAUAAAGAUCAUACAAAUGCUCUGAAACACUAGAUUGACUACUACUUCGAAAAUUGCAAUUACAAGGGCCAAGACUAAGAAGUGGAUAUUUGUAUUUCAAAAUAAAUGAGUUGUAAACUGAGAUAAGAAGCAACAUUCGAUGUAACAAUAUGAACAAGAAGGUAGAACUAUAAACCAAGUACAGUAAGAUAGAGCUAUACACAAGAAGUGGUAUUUGUAUUUUACCAUGUUUGGUUAUAAAAUUCAGAUCGGCGCUCAUUCUCAGCAUUGUGGCUGGUAUCUGCACCAAGAAGCUUCAAGUCCCUAGCUUGAGAAGCAAGCAAACCAUUGAUGAACUCAGCUGGAGAAUGACUAAAUCCUAGAAAGAAAGCUUGUCUCUGAUAAUGUUCAUGGAUUUUCCUAAUAGCAGCAGAAAUUGCUUCGUCAAAGGCAUCAACCUCCUUAUUCCUCUCUAAAUCGGUGAGGAAACUUGACAUUUCCCUCUCUAAUAAAAUAGGAACAUCAACCGGUACAUCAUAACAAGUAUUUCCAGCUGGACAAUUCCCAGAAAGCUUAAUCUUAUGUUCCAAAUGUAUUGGUUUGAGUGAAGUUAGAUGUUGUAUUAUCUUCUGGGAAACUACAGCAAAUUUCAAGUUCUCUUCUCCAAAAACUUUUCUCAGAGGUGGAUCACACACAAAAGAGGAUGUGUCACCUGGAAUUUGUAAUUUCCUUGUCUUUAUGUAAUGCCAAAGUGCAGCUAUAGUCCUAGGGCGUGUCUCAACCUCUACCCCAAGAACUUCUUGCAAAGCAGGUGAAAGCCUAAAUUUCUCUGGAACAAAAUCCAUUUCUAAUCUAACAAUCGCAGUAAACUCCUUAUCUCCUUUUCUCUUCACCUCAAACCCCUCAUGAAGUGCCGGUGACCGAGAAUUCUCCCACAAGAUCACAUGAUUAUCAGGAUACAGGUUCUGAUCCAAGUAUACAGUCAUUUUCCUAAUGAAAGAGGAAAACUUAGGAUAUGGAGAGCUUGAAAUGUUGAGCGAACCAAGAGCUGCAGGAUCAGCCCCAUCUUCCAAGAUCCUCCCACAUAUUUUAAGCGACCAAGAGGGAGGAUCAGCGUUUUUGCUGUCAGUAUGCGCCCCUUCCUGGUUGGCAAAGGUGUUAAAUACAUAAAUCCUGAGCAUCUUUUGAAUGCGCAUCGGGUUCUUAAGGGUAUCUGCAAUUUCAAUCUUCUUCCUGGCAAGAAGAGCAUCAAUACGGGACUCAAGUUCAAGCAACUGGGCAUAAAGAGCUGAUUCCGGCAAGGACGAUGCCGCUUUAUGGGGAUCUCUUCUCAGGAAGCUUCCGUUUCCUCCUCCGCACAGCAGGAGCUAAUUCCAUGGUUUUUAAUGGGGAAGCAGUAGCACCUUGUCCGUGUCCACCAGAGGACACACCACCAGAAGGCCGCGACGGGGGCUUGUGAGAUGGGGUCCGCCUACUACUGCCCGCUGAAGUUGCAGGGGUUGAUGGACCAGGUGAAGAUACAGCUGCAGCAUUGGCAGUUGCAGAAUUUUCAAGUUGGGCAUGAGCAGCCAGGGCAUGGCCCAGCCCCUGAGCCUGGAGGCGUUCAGACAAUUGGAAAUUACCGGGGAACUGGGGACCGCCACCUUGACGUUGUGGCUGUUCAGUGGGAAGGUGAGGAACCGCUGUUUGGUCGUGAUUAUUUUUGUGGUUCAUGGAAACUUGCAUCUAUUGCCUCCCUGGACACUACAAUCAAAUGCAGGCAACUACCGCGCAAUUUGAACCGGUCAGGGAACGAUCCUUACAAGGCGGGGGCGGGGGCGACUCGCUCGGAUUCGGAAGAUUCGAGAUGACUCGAGUCAAAGAGUCGAACAAGCAAGCCAAUCGUAUGACCCGUUUCAACUCGGGACUUAUAACCAAAAAAAAAAAAAAAAAGAAACCCCAACAAAAAACAACAGCUUUCUGCUUUGCAGCAAUUAGGGGAAAGACAAUGAAAAUCCCCACGAGAACAUCCCAAAAACAGUGACAAGUAAAAUAAUCUGGACAAAGUUAGCGUAAGAUAAAUACAACCAAAAAGAAACUAAUCUCCCUACCAAAUUUAGGCCGAACUUGUCUGCUCAAAAAACAGCACGUGGUGGGAGAGAAGACGGGGAAUAAGGAGAUGGGCUGGUGAAGCUUCCAUAAGCAAGGAGAAGGUGAAGGGCGAAUGAUGUUGCUUGAGCAAGGAGAAGGCUAUGUCUGUGGGGUUGCCAGGGGAGGGGGCCGAGGGAAGUGGCUGUUCGGCAGGAGUCGAUCGGGCACUGGCAGUGGGCUGGUGGGCUUUAGUUGCAUAAUAAUAAAUGUUUCUCAGCAAAAGUUGUGUAACACUUAUUUUAGUGGGGUCGUUCGAAAGGCAUUUGGGUUAGUCGUCUUCUUCAAGGGAUAAUUUCAGAAACCUACCCUAAUUUUUUACUAUUUCAUUGACCUCCCCUAAGGUUUACAAAAUUACGCAAACCUCCCUUGAGAUUAAGUAUUUGGUAACAAAAUCCGUCCUUGUCAGGAAAAAAAAGUACACUUAAAACAGGUAUUUUGAGGAAAGACAUGAAAAGUUCUCAAAAAUGUCCCUUUUGUGGCUAUACAAGUUGCAGUAGUAAAAUAAUGGUAAAUAAUAAAAGCUAGAAAUAAUUAUUAUCAAUAUAACAGGUGAUAAAAUCGAUUUGUUCUUAUUGUUAUUGAUGUCAAUUAAAAAAUGGGGCCAUGUUAGGGUAUCAAUUCGCACCAUUUUUUUUGUAAUUAUAGUUAUAAAUUUUUAUUAAGAACUUCACCAUAGUUAUGUUCAAUAAUCAAUUGGAAUCAAUUAAUUUGAACCAUAAGUAUUCAUUUGUUAGAUAUUAAUCUUCUAAUAAUACAUAAUGGGUGUGUGUGAAUAGCUAAGUUUUGUCAAAUAAUAUUUUGCUUGCAUUAUAAACACAUUUUUUCAACUCACUUUUUUAUCUUACAUAUAUCACAUCAUAAAAAAAUGCAUGUGCUUGUUAAUAUUAGUGAAAAAAUAAUAAGAAAAGCAAAGGAUUAUACUUUAUUUUUAUUUUUUGUAAAACUGGCUUAACUCAUAAAAUGAAAUUGCUUUAUUUACAUUAGUUACUCCACUAACUCAUAAAUACAUCAUGUCCACGUUUUCAUCAAAUACAAAUACCACUCCAACUAACUCUCAUUUCCUCACACACCUUCUCGCUCCAAUUAACAAUUUCAUUCCGAUUAAAAUUCCUCCAACCCAAUAAUAAGAGAUAACAACAUAAUUUCACCAAAAAUUACAAUUUACCAUCUCUUUCAAGUUCUUUCUAGAGAGAAUGAGUAACAAGCGCUAAAUUGCGGAGAUAUGGAGAAGGAAUGAGUCAAAUGUGAGACUUCCAUUUGGGUUAAAUAAAUUAUUAAGUUAACAACCUUACAAAGAAAACAAUGAAUAGGGAAUGCAAUUUGCCUAACCUAGGAAAUAUGGUAAAACACAUAAUACUAUCAAAAUCUAUAUCUAUAUGUAUUGUAGGGAGAGUUUUUUGGAUGAUUAAAUUAGAAAUCUUAUAACUCAUCUUUAUUUAUUUUUAUAGAAUUUUAAGUUUUUAAAAUUGUUAUAUAUAUUUUUCAUGUCUUUUGAAUUUAAAGGUAAGAAGUGGCUCAUCCGUUUGAUAAACUGAAUCUGAAUUCUUAAAUCUGAAUACUGAAACAAUUAAUUUGCUGAAUUUUAAGCACCGAAAAGAAAUAUAUGAAUGUCUGAAUUUUAAUGUUAAAUCUAUUUAUACUGUUUGAUAAACAUUUAUAAUUGGAUGUUUAAUAAGUUAAAUUUGAUAAUUUUGCCCUUAUAUCUUUUCAUCCAAAAAAGAAAUAUAACUUGUGAUUUAAUUAACUUAAAAUUGUUAGGUAUGAAAAUGAAAAUAUUUAUUUUAAAAUCAAAUUAAUAUAAAAGAUGAAAUAUAUUAUAUGAGGAGUAUGGAGAAGAUGUGAAAGUCAUUAACAAUGGAUAAAAGAGAAAUAUGAAAUCAUUAAAUGGAGAAUGUUAGGUUGUUUAAUUAUAUAAGAAUUUUAAACAUAAUUAACAAAUAAUGGUAGAUUUUGUAGGUAAGAUAAAUUAGUUGAAGUAAUUAUAUUGAUUCUUAUCAGAAUUAAAUGUUAAGUUAGGAUUAUUGUGCUUAAAAAAAUACACACAAGUUCAGCAAAUGGAUUUUUAUUUAUUAAACACUCAAAACAUAUAUAUGAAAAAAGUUCAGAUUCAACAAUUUUCUAUGUUAUCAAACAAACUCAUAUAGGAAUUUGAUUUGAAAUCUAUUAAUGUGAGGGUAAAUAAAGAGGAAAACCACCAACCUAAAAGCAAAAAAGUAAAUAACAAUAUUUUACUCUUUAAUUUAGUAAUCCAACUAAAAAGGCAAAGUAUAUAGAAAACAAAAAGAAAAUAAUAUUCACUGGUCAUGGAUUUAAAAUAUCAAUAAUAGUACCAUUUGUGGAUAAUAAAUUAUGAAAUUACUAAAUAGAAAACAAAGUACUACUAGCCUAAAAAACAAAUUAUGAAUUUAUAGGGUUUGAAAGAAUUGUGAAGGGAAAAGAAUAGAAAAUUGGGUGGCAAAAAUAGAAAAUUAGAGGUUAGCUAUAGACGAGAGAAAAAGAGUAGCAAAAAGUUAAAGAGUGGUGGGAAAAGUCAAAAAAUAAAGGUAAAUUACUACAAAAUUGGACGAAGAGAUGAGAGAAGAAAGAAUGAAAUUGUAAGGAUAUGACAUAAAAGAUGACACCGUGAUAAGAGAUCUGAAAGUCAUAAAAGACAGCGGAUAGCUAAUUAGUAGGUAAGAGAGGAUAGAAAUGGUGAUAAUUUUUUAGUAAUUUUGAAACACAUCUCAUGAAGAUUAUUUUAAAUAUAUAUUAAAAUUUAUGAAGAACAUUAUUUUAUAAGCACUCAACAAUUUUUGGAUUACAAAAUGAGAGAAAAUUUUUCUAAAUUUGAGGAAAAUGAAUUAGUUAUACUUUAUAUUUUUAAUGUUAAAAAUUUUGAUAUAUGGGUAUAACAUGAUAUAUUGAUAUAUUUAUAAAUAAGUUUAUAAUUGCUCUAUGAUAUGAAUCGUUAUAAAUUAAAUUAUUUUAUUAAAAUUGUUAUCGUAUAUUGACAAACAAUAGGUUAACAAAAUUUGGUUUCAACUUAUUUAAGAUAUUAAAAUUAGGAAAGUCCAUGUUUUGUACUUAUGAAAUAAACUUUUUUUUAACAUGUUAAGCAUACACUUCUUUAAAUUUUUUUGUCUUUUUUAUAUACUUUAUCUUAUACUAUAAUAUGUAAGUAUUGUUUUGAAUUGAAAUAUAAAUCUGUGCAAAGAAUGGAUCAGAUUGCUAGUAAUAAAUAAUUUCUAACAGUGCUUUGAAAGCUAGGUGAGCCUUGGAGUUGGAGGUGGGCAUCUUCCCUAAAUUUUAAAAAUUCAUACUUUUUACCCUUUGACACUGAGAGUUUAGAAAAAUCCCUAUAUUGAGUCCAAAUGGCUUGUGCUUUGCAGCAAAGGAAAGAGAACGAGAUUCAGGAAAAAUGAAUGAAUAGAUCGCACAAAAACUGUGCCACUUGGCUAGUUCCGCGUAAAACAUCCAUCUUUCUUCCGGGUUCCGGAUCCUAUUGAAUCAAAAUCAUCGGUGGCAUUCUAUCCACCCAUCCAUACAUUUUCUGUCCAGUACAACAUGACAAGACAUCCAUUAGACCACUGGACUCAGUAACUAACUACUAGAGCUGGCAAUUUGUCCCAAGUCCCAACGGGCUACCCAUGCCCAAAGGAACUUUGGGCGGGAUGGGUAUUAUAAUUUGGUAUUGGGUUUAAGUUGGGACACAUCCCAACUAUACCCAUUAAUGAAUGGGAAAGGAUGGGAAAUACUUGGGUACCCAUUGGGCUCAAAUGGCAAGGGCUCCGUUUGGAUUAGCUGUUUUUGGUAGGUGUUUUUGAAAUAUUUUAUUGUAGCAGUGUAUAUGAAAAAUUUUUACUAUAAAAUUUUUUUGAAAUAUUUGAUAUAUUAAUAUGGAUGGGAUGUUUCUUGAGUUAUUGUAUAUUACUGUAACAUUGUAUUUGAAAAACUUAUUUUUUGAAAAAAAAGUCAAUCCAAACGGAAUCUUAGAUUCAAAAAUUAUCUUUAACAAUUUUUAUAGUCAUACCAGCGAAUAUAAUCUAGUAGUCUUCCUAGUCAUUAUCCACAAGAAUUUCCAGCAUUUCAGUUAGUUUAGACCUGUCAUCCUUGGACAAUGAUAAGGAUAAAUAUUCAACAUCCUAAGGACCUUGGCCAUCUUGAUAUAUGUUGGAAUAUGGCUGUAUAUCUAUCUUUUCCUUUAUUUGUUAAUCCAAUUUUUGGUGGGAAUCUUGAGUAUAAAGCACUUGCAUGUUUAUUUAAUAAAACUAAAAGAAAUUUAAUAAAUCAAAAAUAUAAAAAUUAUAUAAAAAUAAAAAAUGAAUUAAAGGAAAAAAAAUAUGUAGAAAAUGGAUUUGGGUAUUGGGCGGGAUCAAUCUAAACCCAUCCCAAAAUGAUCCCGCCCAAGUUAGUCCCAAAACACAUAUGGGUAAGGUUGGGCCCAAACCCAUAUGACUCGGUUCCAUCUCAAACCCAAGCAAAUUCCGCCCAUCCCGCCCAUUUUGCCACCUCUACUAACUACUUGUUACAGUUUGACAAAAAAAAAAAAAAAACUACUUGUUACAAGCAUAGAAGUGCCCAUCACCAUCUCCGUUAGGAUUCAGGAAGUGCCAGUUGACCUCAACUCACCUCACCACACCAGACCGGGCCUCAUCCUCGGCCUCUUCUCAGUUCUCAACACUGUGCAUUACGCUCUACUCGCCUAUUACAAUUGAAAUUGAUGCCACUACUACUGUAGAAAAUUGAAAUAAAAUAUGGCCUCUACUAAAGUGCCACUGUUCCCCGCCUUCUGUGAUGUUGCAAAAAUGUCAAAUCCUUCUUCUGCUUCUGCUACUAAUAGUUGCGCCCAUUUCCAGCCAAGGAGCAGCAGCAGAAGCAGGGAUUGGAUGACAAGAAUAAAAAUUUUCCUCCCCCUUUGCAAAUGGAACUCUCGCUUUUACUCCAUGCCAACCAAAUUCAACCCCCCACCUCCUCCUCCUUCUUCGUUGCUUUUAGUUUCAUCUUCAUCAUCAUCUUCAUCGCCCGUCCUCUACUCCGACGUUGCCCCCUCUGCUAGACGCUAUAAAUUACUGCCACCUCCGCCCCUCCGAACUCACGAGAAUGUGACGGAGAGCAGCGACGACAUUUCUCUGCUUAACGACAGAAUUCUUCGAGAGCACGGCAAGAGAGAUUCCUCCUCCCCGAGGCCCCCCGUCAUGGAUACCAAGGAGGCUGAUAAAUACAUUCAGCAGGUCAAGGAGCAGCAGCUGAGGGGUUUGCAGAAGCUCAAGGGUGACGUCACCAACAAAAAUUGGAAAGACGGCGUUUUUAGCUACAAGGUCGACCCCUACACUCUCUGCCCCGGCGACUACGUGGUGCACAAGAAGGUCGGCAUCGGCCGAUUUGUUAGCAUCAAAUUUGACCUGCCAAAGUUGAAGCAUCCUAAUACUUAUAAUACGGACCACAACCCCCAACUCCCGACUGAAUAUGUCUAUAUAGAGUACGCCGAUGGAAUGGCCAAGCUCCCUGUCAAGCAGGCUUCCCGCAUGCUCUACCGCUAUAAUCUGUACGCACGCCUUUUAUUCCUUGCCUUUCUUUACUACAACCUACAAUGUUCACCCCCUCUGAAAUAGACUUCUGAGUGACGGCUGGUGUUGACAAAAUUUGAUUGAAUUUCCGAAGCAUUUACGUGACUACUCCCUUUAAUUACUCGAUGCACGCCAAAAGUCUUGUGGUAAAACUAGAUUAUAGGAUGCAUAAACCAAUGGACCUAAAUGAUGACUUGCUUGGGAUAACCUUAAGGAGGCUCGUUUUGAAGCUAAUGAUCAUAUCUUCAGUAAUGUUUCAAGGAGCGUGGCCUUAAUUUUUGCAGCAAUCAAACUGUUGAUAAUUUGUUCUUCCGGUUAUUCAGCCCCCGGGGGGGGGGGGAAUUAGGUUAGGUACUUGGGCAGUGGGAUUGGUUUGAUCCUUCCCAGUCAGGGUAGAAACACUAAUUCAGUAAUACCGCCAUUCUGGGAACAACAUCAUUUUAUCUGACUUCUCCUCAAGUAAGUGCAACCAUUAGUUAAGGUUGUUGCUAAGUUGUAGCCAAUGUGCGUAUCCUGCAGUUGCUCGCUCACUUUGCUAUUUUAUUUCUCAGACCUAAUGAAACAAAAAAGCCACGUGCUUUGAGCAAACUAAGCGACCCAAGUGCAUGGGAGAGAAGAAGGGUGAAGGGUAAGGUUGCAGUUCAAAAAAUGGUUGUUGACUUGAUGGAGCUGUAUAUACACAGGCUCAAACAAAGAAGGCCUCCUUACCCCAAAAUGCAUGCCAUUGCAGAAUUUGCAUCUCAUUUUCCUUAUAAGCCAACGCCAGACCAGAUGCAGGUCUAUUCCAUUUUUCUCUUUUUCCUUCUUCUGCGAAACUGCUCAAUUUCAUGAUAGAUAUAGUUCUACCAGAUGAUCCUGUUAUCUUCCCUCAGUUGAAUUAAUGCCAUUUUCUGGAGAAAUAGGUGAUUUUUCUUCUUUUGACAUCAUCUAUAGCACCACUUGAGCCUGCUUAUAGAGUAAUUUCACUUAGCACUAAUUAAUUGAAUUCUCAUAACAGGCAAUCAUUGAUGUGGAAAAAGACUUGACAGAGAAAGAAAACCCUAUGGACAGAUUGAUAUGUGGAGAUGUUGGUUUUGGCAAAACUGAAGUUGCGCUUCGUGCCAUCUUCUGCGUGGUUUCAGCAGGGAAGCAAGCCAUGGUUCUAGCACCAACAAUAGUUCUAGCUAAACAACAUUAUGAUGUUAUCUCCGAUCGAUUCUCAAGAUAUCCAGAUAUCAAGGUUGGACUUCUGAGUAGGUUUCAGGUAUGUUGAAGAUUCCAAAGUUUUUUGUUUUUUGGUGGUGAAGAUAAAAUUCUUGCCUAGUUGAUGUUAGAUAUGAAAAAAGGAAUUUUACAACUCAUUUUAAUUUCAUUCUGUUUUUGAGUUGAAAAGUUUGAAACUAAAUGCAGGAGUUUUCCACCUUCUUACUAUGCUAGAAUACCUUCUAUGACAAUUUUCGUGAACAUUUAUAGGUGAUAUCAUCGGAUACUUCUAGUGGCCAGCUGUAGGUUUAUAUGCUGAAAAAAGCAUAAAAUGUUCUCUAAGCGUCUCUGUUAUCACUGACUGAAUUGGCAUCUAUUUACCAUUCCGACAAGGGAACUUUACCAUACUAGAACUACAUUCUUGCAGACCAAAUUAUUAUUUCUGAUGAAAGCAUUGGGUUUGGAUGUAAUUCUAAUCGAGUUUUUAAACUUGUAUUUAUUGCAAGUGAUGCGUUUGGUUUGCCUAAUGUGAUUGUUGUGUUUAGUCUUCCUACUUGGAUUUAGUUGACUCAUUUGGUGUUCAGUUUGAUUCCACGGCUGAUCACAUAUAUAUUUUUUUAUCACAAAAACUCUUGUACUUGCUUGCUGCCAGUGAUUUUCUCUAUUUCUCAAAGCUAUAACCUGUCUAAAAAGCAGCACACUGAUAAUACACAUAUUGAUUGAUUCAUUUCGAAACUUUUAAAUAGACUUGUGUGGCAUGUUGGUUGAGUAGAAAGGAUGUUUAUUGCGAAGUAACCGUUCAUCUUUGAACUUGCAUUAUGAAGUCCAAGUCAGAGAAAGAGGAGUAUGUGCACAUGAUUAAACAUGGGCACCUGGACAUUACAGUUGGGACUCAUUCACUACUUGGCAACCGUGUUGUGUAUAAUAAUCUUGGUCUUCUUGUGGUUGAUGAGGAACAGGUAUCCCCAAAAUAUCCUUUACACUAUCAUGAAGUUUGUGAUUUGCUAAUUAAUGCUUGAUUUUAUUUUUUGUUUUGGGGUUGAAUGAUACCAUGCCUUGUGACUUUCUAAGAGUGAAUCCUGAACUAGUUUACCUAUGGCUAAAAAUGUGGAAUGAUAGUUGUGCUACAGCCUCCUUGUGAUGAGAUGAUGGUAUUCUCCCUGGCCCAGUUCCUGAUAGCUUAAACUGCUGGAAUGGUUGUUGCUUCCUUCCUAUCUUUGAUUAGAUUGUCUGAAGUCUAUUUGCAUUAUGAUGAAUGGAGUUAGAGAAUUAAACGUCCUGCAGUGCUUGACAAUCGAGUUCAUUGUUACCAUUACUUCUAUCUAGGCAAGUUAGAGACUGUUUGCCACUAAGUAACAAAAGUUUCAUGCUACAGAGUCACUGCAAAUAGUAUAUCAUACUUAAAUAUUGGGGUUUAGGUGCACUGGAAUGCUUAUUAUAAAGGGUUGUUUUGCUCCCCUUUGAAAGAGAGACGGUUUGACAUCUUCACUUAGUCUUCUGCAUUUAGUAUUCUGAUAUCAAGAGAAACAAAUGAUUUAGAUUUCUGUGUGAGAUGUUGCUUUACAGAGAUUUGGUGUGAAACAAAAGGAGAAGAUUGCUUCUUUUAAAACCUCAGUUGAUGUACUCACGCUUUCGGCAACGCCUAUUCCACGAACCCUCUAUUUAGCUUUGACUGGGUUUCGUGAUGCCAGGUAAUUUUUGCUCAUUAAAAUGAAAAGUUUCAGGUGUUAAAUUCUUGAGUAAAUUCAAAUUGAUGUGAGUUGAUAUUCUGCUACGUCAUUUUUAUGAUCUUUUACUUGAUAGGUAGUUCCAGUCACUGUGCUAUUAAACUAAUUAUCUGUAACCACUGCCUGGGCCACUGUUUGCUGUUUUGUCCUCAGGGGGAGGGGUGAGUCUUGUGUUUGUGUACAUAUAAGGAGCUGGUAUUGGCACUCUGUUGUUUGUCAAUGGCACUCCACUUGACUGUUUAACCAUAUGAAAGGACAGAAGUACCCCUAUCUUUUGUUCCUUUACAACCUGAGUGAAUAUGGAGUGGUGUAAUUACAAAGAAACAUAUGGGCUGGCGAUAUCAGCUAAUACCAUUUUGAAUAUGAAGUGGUUGUAAUUAGACUAGAAUAUGGGCUGGUGAUCUCAGCUAAUACCAUUUUGUUUGUGCAAGUUUUCUUGAAUGUGAUGUCCUUAUUUUUUUGGUGUAUAUUUUGUUUCACCCUUUUGCAGUUUAAUUUCUACACCACCUCCUGAAAGAGUUCCAAUAAGAACCCAUCUUUCAUCAUAUUCUAAGGUAAAGGUGGUAUCAGCUAUAAAGUAUGAGCUGGACCGAGAUGGACAGGUUUUUUAUGUGUUGCCCCGAAUCAAAGGUGAAUUGACUACAUUGGCUUUUUUGUUAUGACUUUUAUAUGAUUUUAGACAGUCAUCAGGAGAUUUAUGUCUCGUGUGGUUUUAACUUUUGAAAUUUCUGAGCAGUUUAAAUGAGUUUCUUAGAUGGUGUUCAGUUAUGCCUACAUUUAUUAUUCAUGGACUUGUGAACUAUUUCAUAGGGCUUGAAGAAGUCAUGGAGUUUCUUGAAGAAUCGUUUCCAGAGGUUGAAAUAGCUAUUGCUCAUGGAAAGGUAAUUCAUUGCUUGAAGUGGAGCGCUAGAUCUAUGACCACUUCACUCUGCGUGGGUAAAAUACAAAACUACAAAGUACCAAACCACUAUGUAAGGACUGACACCAUUAAGAAGAAAUUUUAGCAGCUUUGUAUGAGGGAGACUUGAAUUCAGUUAGUCACAUUGGCAAAGGUGGUUACAGAAGUUUAUGAUAACCUGCUAUGUUGUUUGUUAAGUUUUGAUAUCUUAUUUCCUAUAGUGAAAGAAGACAAAGAGGGAUGAAUAUGAGGACAACGAAAGCACUAUGAGCCACUAACAAAGUUCAAGUAUAAUGACCGUCUUUAGAAGGUACAGAACUGGAGAUGGGAAGUAGAUUAACAUCGCAAGGCCCUAGAAAGUGGUUUAGUGAGAAUGAAAUGUCUAGAUGCCAUUGUGAGGAAAAAUACACGAUUAUAUGAUGUCAUGUAGUUUAGGAUCUUCAGAUUGAAGUAUUGCGUGCAUUUAAUCCAUCCACAUGAAACAAACAUUGUCCUUUUGACUUGAGUCUUCCGAAUUUUUCUGAUAAAUAUUGAACUUUUGUAAAUUCUGAAUUCCUGUGUAAAUAGGAUUUGUAGUCAUUCAGAUCUUGUUAAUUAUUGAUAGAGUUCGGAUUUUGAUGGGUGGCAGGUAUAUCUGUGCUUAGGAUGGGUAUAUUAUAGUAAAACUUUUGACGCUUUUGGGUUUUCUCCAAGCAAUAUAUGCCAUUACAUUCUCUUAUUUGUCUAUGGCUUUUGCUGCAUAUUUAAUGGUGUCGAUACAUUGCCACUAAUAGAACUUAGUUUCGAGCCACUCUUGUAUUGAAAUUGGAGUCCAGUGCUUGGGAAGCUAGAACCAUUUUGAAAAGUAUAUUUAGUCUAUGGGAUUGAUUGGUGAAUUAUUUAAUCUAUUAUUAGUAAUGAUAUUUUAUUGAAGCCAAUGGACACUAGCAGCAGUUGAUAGGAGAAAAGUAGGUCUGUCUGAAAUUUGUGAUAUAAAUUGAUUUGUGCAUGAAAACUGAUGUAUUAAUGCCUUCCUACAACUAAAAGUGUAUGUGAAAGUAAUCCUCUUAACGAUUUCAUAUAUAUACUUUCUUCAAAUUUCUUUCAAUAUAACAUUUUCCACUCUUCUUCCCAACUUUACUUGUUUCUGGUCUUCCUAAUUGCCAAAAUGUUAGAUUUUGCAUUUUGAUGCAUUGUGAAAGCCUCUGUAUCCAUGCAUGAAUAACUUCUUAACAAGCAUAGGUUAUAAAGCAGCUGCCCAACAAUGAGAGAGCCAUACUCUUCCAUCUCCAGUGCAUUAAUCCUUUUCAACAACCUAAAAUAAUGAACAAAAAGAAGAAAAAUGAAAGAAUGUGACUUGUGGUUAUCACCAAUGGUAAUUGUGGUUAUUGUUUGUUGUCAUCUUGUAAAUAAAUCUUUUGCUGUUUCUGCUUGGUAGAUCAUUUUCUCCCCCUGUGCUGCAAUGACUGUAAUACCUACUGCUCAAAAGGAAAUCAAACAAUGGUUUCAAGUAACUCUUGUAUCUAAAUGGUGAUUGUGGUUGUUUGUACUGUAUAAACCUAUGAAAAGUAGGAUCUUGCACAUAUUUCUCUCACAAAUCAGCUAAAUAUUUCGGCAGCAAUACUCGAAGCAGCUUGAGGAUACCAUGGCAAGAUUUGCACUGGGGGAAAUUAAGAUCCUUAUAUGCACAAACAUAGUUGAAAGUGGGCUUGACAUUCAAAAUGCGAAUACAAUCAUAAUCCAGGAUGUCCAACAAUUUGGCCUUGCACAGUUGUAUCAGGUACUCUUUUGUCCCUAUUCCUCUUCAAAAUUUUGAUAAAUUAGUUGAGAUAAAUGAACUUGCAAACAUAUCUGAGGAGGCCUGGUCUAGUGGCUAAGUUUGAGGCCCCAGAAAUUAGAAGUCCUGGGAUCAAAUCUCCUUCCACCCCGCUUCUUAAAUCCCACCCGUCCCUUGCUAAAACAAUAAACAAAUAAAUGAAUAAAAUAAAAUAAAAUCAGAACUUGGAAACAAAAAUGAAACCUGAGAUGAACCUAUAGUUGCAGCUUGAUCCCGAACUCUGAAGAUCAAUAACUUAUUUCCUUCUUCUUAGUACAGACCCCUUUUGCAUCUGUGGGUUUUGUUGCUUACUUUUGGUGCAUGUUAUUUUAUCAAGUAGUUCUUCACUUUGACAAUGAUAGAUAUAUUGGGUGACCUAGCAGAUAUCUUCCUGUUUAUGGGUACAAAAGGCAAGUUUGCGUCAUUAUUUAUAUGUGAUUUUUUACAGUAAAAACCACAAUCUCAAAAGAAGCUAUGACUGUAAUCUCGGGCUUCAAUAGUAUAGCAGCAUAUUUAAAGGCUUUCUAAGAUUUCUAUGUGUUCUUUUCCUUUUUUGGACUAUAAUUAUUCUGGUACCCGGAACAUCUCUUAACAUGGUCUUGAUCAGUAGCAUGCUCUCUAUCCUGUAAUGAAUAGUCCUGUAAGGGAGAUAUGAGGGAAGUUGAUCAAAACUUUCCUGUCUAGUUGUCUUGACUACAGUCCUGGUAUUUCUGUAGCUAAUAUUGUCAGUUCGAACUUUUUACAUAAAUGUAUACUGUGAAAUACUCGUUGUUAUCUGGUUUUUUUAGACUUUAAAUUUAAUCCUUUUUUUUUAAAUUUUUUAACAUUGUACAAUUACUUGACAGUUGCGUGGAAGGGUGGGCCGAGCAGAUAAAGAAGCUCAUGCACACUUGUUUUACGCUGAUAAGUCUUUGCUCUCUGAUCAGGCGCUAGUAAGUUUUCCUAUUGUCUUUCCUCUAUUUUUGUGGAAAACUGGACGAUUGGGAAAUGUAGUAUGUUAUGGGUUGUUCUUCUGUGUGCACCUUGUCUUGCCACAUCCCGUGUAGAAAAGUUAUGCUUUUUCUUAUGCAGGGUUAAGUGACAUUGAUAUCUGUGUUGUAUUAGGAGAGGCUAACUGCCCUUGAAGAGUGUCGUGAUCUUGGCCAGGGUUUCCAGCUUGCAGAAAGGGACAUGGCUAUUAGAGGCUUUGGUAAUAUUUUUGGUGAGCAGCAAACAGGGGAUGUUGGAAAUGUGGGCAUUGAUCUUUUCUUUGAAAUGCUAUUUGAGAGCCUGUCAAAGGUUUGUUUUUUCCAUAAUAUUAGAAUUCACUAGCACUGGCUAGGAGACCAGUAAGAGCAGAUUCUAUAACAAUAAUAAUUCCUUCAACUUGGCUCAAUAGCCAGAGAUGAAAGUAACAGAAGCUGUUUUAGUUCUUUUGUUCUUCUUAAGAUGAAAGCUUGACUAAUGUUUGGAUUAUCUUUUUGAGCUUGCUGUCAUCAUCAAUGAUAAUAAUCUUUUUCUCCUUAUUUAUUUUUGACACAUGCAUACUUUAUAAUCACAUGAUAAAUGGCUAGUUAUUUCGUAAUUAAACCUUAGAUUGAUGGAUAGAUCUUCACUUAAUCUUUUGACUUCCAGGUUGAUGAACACCGUGUAAUCUCAGUUCCUUACCAAUCGGUGCAGGUAUUCAUAUCCACAUUGAAAGAGGGUAAAAUGAGUAGUCUUAUCUUUUCACUCUAAGAAAUUUCUCUGCAAAACCUUAUGUAGUAAUUUUGCUGCAAAAGCCAAAGACUUUGACUUGUCUAUAUAGCCCAGAAACCUAUAUAUUUUUGUGGUAGAACUUCGAAAGAGAACCCACUUUGGCCUGAAUAAGGCAUAAAAUUCAUGUAACAGAAAAAAUAACUUUAGAUUAAUUGAUAUUGAAUAAUGACUAAAUAUAUUGAGCACAGAUAAGAAUUCUGUUUGGAGCUAUUGAUGACACCGCUUGAACAAUUUGACUAGUUCUAUCACUUUUGUAUAAAUAGUAUUGUUGAAACACGUUCCAGGAAAAUUAUCUCAUUUCACUUGCAUGUUUUUAGUGGUGCACACAGCAAUAUCAUGGCAGUUGAUGGCUUUGUACAUAACUGCCAUCUGCAGAAGAAACCAUUCUAAUACAUGGUGACCUUCUGCCACAUUUUUAGAUUGUAGUACAUUCUAAUCAACUGGAUAAUAUCUCUUCCAGAAGGGGGAGCAAUACAGACUGUAUUACUACUCUCUGUUGCACAAUGCUCUCAACUUUACUUUGGCUUGUAUAAUCACGGUGACCUAAGGAGAGAUGUAUCUGAAUACAUUAUGAAUAUCUUGACAGAUAUGUACGAUUCCUGGAUCCAUUAAUUUAUUUUACAUCCUUUUGCCUUAUUUGUGUCAGCUUGAUCUAAAUAUAAAUCCAUAUCUCCCUUCUGAGUACAUAAAUUAUCUCGACAAUCCCAUGGAAGUAAUAAGUGAAGCUGAAAAAGCUGCCAGGCAAGACAUUUGGAGUUUGAUGCAAUUUACUGAGAGCCUGCGCCGGCAAUAUGGAAAAGAGCCCUACUCCAUGGAAAUCCUGUUGAAAAAACUCUAUGUGAAGAGAAUGGCUGCGGAUUUGGGGAUUACCAGGAUAUAUUCAUCAGGAAAGAUAGUUGGCAUGAAAUCAAACAUGAGCAGGAAAGUUUUCAAGCUCAUAAUAGAUUCAGUGGCAUCUGACAUACACUGCAAUUCCCUUGUUUUUGAGAAUGGCCUAAUCAAGGUAAGAUGCAUGUUGUUCUCUUGCAAUUGCCAGAAGUGGUUCUGCUAGUGACGUACUUGAUAUGGUUUCCUUGAGUUAAUAAAAUCCGCGCAUGGUCUCCAAUGGGCUUGAAAAUGAGAAUAGUAUAGAUGAGGUUGACUGGCUGUCCUAUACUUGAGUCUGCACUAUUUGUCGCAUUUGAAGAAAGAAUAUCAGCCAAACUAUCACAUGGUCAAUUCUUUAUGAUCUCGUAUCUUGUUAGAAUAGGUGUUUGUUAGUACUGGCCGUAACUGUUGGAAAUUAUUUGAAUGGAUUUUUUUUGGGAUCUUACUGUUUUUGCUGAUGGUGUCAAUUAACCUUGAUAUUAACGUGCUUGCCAAUGUGAGUUUUUUUUUGGUUCUUUUGUACUCCUUUUUUACCCCUCCGAACACUGAACUUCUAAUGCUUGCUUCUUGCGCUCCAGGCUGAACUUCUGUUGGAGCUACCAAGAGAACAGUUGCUAAAUUGGAUUUUCCAGUGCUUAGCGGAACUCUAUGCUUCUCUGCCUGCCUUGAUCAAAUAUUAGUUUCUACGUCAAUGAUGCCCACCUUGGUACAACUACUUUUUGGAGGCAACUUGUACAGGAAAAAAGUAUUCCUCCCAUCUCGAGUGUUUUCUGGAAGGACUACAGCCUUGAAUCUUCACUGAAGCCACUUGCUCUGGACAAGUUAGAGAUUCAACCACUGAACAGGCUGUUAUGAUAUGUGUUAAGAGAAUAUAAGUAUUCUUGUAGAUAAUAAAUUAGUAAGGGUAUUCUUGUAAAUAGUUUGUUAGGUUUGUACUCCUAUAAAUACUAGUUGGUCACUCAUAAUACGGUGACUAGAUGUUUUUCCUCCCAAGAUACCUGUUGACAUGGUAUCAGAGCAAGAGUCCUAGGGUUCAGGUUAAACAUCUAGCAAAAGUACUGUUCACGCCGUUACUGUUCACGGCUAGGGAUGGCAAUGGGGGAUAUCAAUUAUAUGAAUAAUUAUAAAUGUCUACUAAUAGAAUUUAUUAAUUAGUUAUACUAAAUUUACUAAUACAUUUAUACUAAAUUUCUAAUUACACUUAAUAGAAUAACACUUUUUUCUCAAAAAAAGCACAAACGCAAUGAUGAAUUAGUGAUUGCAUUUGUACUAAAAGUGAAAAUUUGACUAUUUUAGUUAUAUUUAUUUCAUCAUAUUGGAUUGUAUUCAAAUAACUUCUGUUUGAUUGUUUUUAUGAGUUUCAAUUGUAAAAUUACAAUGAAUAAUAAUUUGGUGAUGUGUUGAUAUUUUAGUAUUUGAUUAUUUAUUAAAAUUUAAUUAUAAUAAAAUUAUAUAAUAAAAUUUUAUUAACCCUGCGGGUGCCCCCGCGGGGGAAGCGGGGCAAGGCGGGAGGGGGCGGGAGGCGGGGACGGGGGGGGACCGUGGGAACUAAUAGGCAACGGGGCGGGGACGGGGAGGGGUCCCCCGCCCCAACCCCGCCCCGUUGCCCGGGUCCCCCGCCCCAACCCCGCCCCGUUGCCAUCCCUAUUCACGGCACACUGUUCACGCCGGUACUGUUCACGGCGCACUGUUCACGCGUACUGUUCGUCUCGAGUUUUGACCCUGUCUUUGGUUUGACGUGCUAUUCGUCAUGGUUGAAAGGUUUGUUAAUGCGGUUACCACUGAUCAAAUUAAAUCGAGUUUUUCAGCACAUGAGUCCCAGAAGACUGUUACUAUAUCUGAGAAAGUUUAUGUUAAAUUCCUACAGUACCAAGUUACAAAUCACACAUCUCUUCCCUCUGCUUCGUUAGCACAAAAAGGUAAUGACUCAUGGAUUAUUGAUUCUGGGGCUACUGAUCAUAUGUCAGGUACCUCUAAAAUUUUUUCUAAUUUUCAAGAGUCUACUCCCUUUCCUCAUGUUACUUUAGCUGAUGGAUCUACCACUAAAGUUAAAGGACUAGGCACUGUAGAAAUUAAUCCAUCACUUUCGCUGUCUUCUGUUCUUUACGUACCCAAUUUGCCCUUUAAUUUAAUGUCUGUUAGUAAACUCAUUAAAUUUCUACAGUGUACAGUUACUUUUUCUCCUGAUUCUGUUGUCAUUCAAGAUUUGAAGACAAAGAGGACGAUUGGUGGAGGGCAUGAGCAUAAUGGUCUUUACUUUCUCAACUUCAAUGGUCCGAUAGCAUGUCCUGCUACUGUUUCCCCUCUUGAAAUUGACUGUCGUUUAGGUCAUCCGUCAUUACAAAAUUUGAAA
rnacentral:lncRNA from 1 species